rnacentral:tRNA from 1 species
UUUAAUAAGCUAAAAAAGCUAUUGAGUUCAUACCUCAAAAAUGAGAAAUCUUAAUUUUUUGUUUUAGAA